rnacentral:rRNA from 1 species
AUUGAACGCUGGCGGCAUGCCUUACACAUGCAAGUCGAACGGCAGCACGGGAGCAAUCCUGGUGGCGAGUGGCGAACGGGUGAGUAAUAUAUCGGAACGUGCCCAGUCGUGGGGAUAACGUAGCGAAAGCUACGCUAAUACCGCAUACGAUCUAUGGAUGAAAGCGGGGGAUCGCAAGACCUCGCGCGAUUGGAGCGGCCGAUAUCAGAUUAGGUAGUUGGUGAGGUAAAGGCUCACCAAGCCGACGAUCUGUAGCUGGUCUGAGAGGACGACCAGCCACACUGGGACUGAGACACGGCCCAGACUCCUACGGGAGGCAGCAGUGGGGAAUUUUUGGACAAUGGGCGCAAGCCUGAUCCAGCAAUGCCGCGUGCAGGAUGAAGGCCUCGGUUGUAACGU